GUCCACGGUUUGAUGAUCGCCCACAGAUGUGCUUGGCUGGUUAGUCUGCUCCCGGUCAAGUCUUCCCCUCCCUCUCCGGCCGCCAUGCAUGCAUGCCCCCACUGUGACUGUUCCUUGCCUUAAUAAACAGGUGAACGAGGACAAGUCCACCAAGACCUCCGGCUCCGAUCCGAUCCAUCCGGGUCAACAUGGCAUUGGAUUGGAUCGUCGCCAUCCACAGUCGCAUUGAAAUGAAAGGAGCAAAGAAACCAGAUUCCAAUUUCCAGCGGCGACUGACUAGACGAACUACGACUGACCAGCAACGGCACUGGCAAUGGCGAUUGCAAUCAGUCGGUCCAUAUGAUGUUUUGAUAUGGCGGACCACAUCACAAUAAUCUAGCCAGCCGCCUCACUCAAUAAUUUUCACACCAAGAAGAAGAAGAAGAAGAAGAAGAAGAAGAAAAAGAAGAAGAAGAAGAAGAAAAAGAGGAGUAGCACUGUAGCAGCAGGAGGAGGAGAAUCUUGGCUGCGCACGGGGACACGGCGAUGAUUCCGGUGGCCUCCCUCCCCCUUCUCGCUCUCCUCCUCAUCCCGCAUCUCGCUGCCGCCCAAGCCCAGCAACAGCAGCAGAUGCCCUCCUUCUCCGCCAACGACAAGCCCUGGAGCCCCACCGAGCGCAACCGCACCCUCGUCUCGCGCAAUCGGGACUUCGCCGCCGGGUUCGUGCCCUCCCCCUCCCCCUCCACCCCGGGCAACUACCGCUUCGCCGUCUGGGUCGUCACCUCCAACUCCACCACAAACAACAACGCCAUCGUAUGGUACGCCCACAACAAAACCAACUACAACGCCUCCGAGGCCGAUGGCGCCUCCGCGCUCGCCGUCGACGCGGCGGGCGUGCUCUCCUGGACCACUGCCGGAAACAAGACCAUCUGGUCCCCCGUCGCCAAUCCCUCCACCAAUACGGCGGUGCUGCAGCUCAAUGACACUGGCAGCCUAGUCUACGGCCCCGUUGGCAGCCCCUUGUGGUCAAGCUUCGCCGAGCCCACCGACACGCUCAUGGCGGGCCAGGCCAUACCCGGGGGAGGCAACGGCACCACGCUCCAGUCCGCCAACGGCCGCUACAGGCUGACGAGCUCCACGACGCUGCAGUUCGGCCACUUGAUGUACGCCAACAUGAGCAGCGCUCCUACUCAGAGUCUGGUCAAUCUCACCGCAGACGGCACGCUCGUCCUCAGCGGUGGGAAGCUCAUCGCCUCCGACCAGGGAUCCACCAAGCGGCUCCGGCGGCUCAAGCUCGACGACGACGGCAACCUCCGCCUCUACAGCCUGCGGAGCAGAACUCGGCAGUGGCGCGUGGUGUGGCAGCUCGUGCAGGAGCUCUGCACCAUCCGGGGCACCUGCGCCGACGGCAGAAUCUGCGUCCCCGUCGGCGCCGACGGCAUCAGCUGCGUCUGCCCGCCGGGGUACCGCAACACCACCCAGAACGGCCCCUGCGAGCCCAAGAAAAACUACAGCCGCAAGGGCGACGACGACAAGUUCUUCCGGAUGGACUUCGUCUCCUUCUCCGGGGGCGCGCCCACCGCGGCGUCGGACCCAGGGCCCCUCAUGACGAAGCUGACGCCGAAGAACCUGGCGAAGUGCGAGAGCAUCUGCCGGGGCAACGCGAGCUGCGUGGCGUUCGGGUACAAGUUCGGCGGCGACCGGACGUGCCUCCAGUACACGAGGCUGGCGGACGGGUACUGGUCCCCGGCGACGGAGGCGUCGACGUUCCUGCUGGUGGCGUCGUCGGACAACGACAGGAACCCGUUCACGGGGAUGACGGACAUGAUCGAGACGGUGUGCCCCGUGCGGCUGGCGCUGCCGGUGCCGCCGAAGCAGAGGGCGACGACGAUCCGGAACGUGGCGAUCAUCACGGCGCUGUUCGCGGUGGAGCUGCUGGCGGGGGUGCUGUCGUUCUGGGCGUUCCUGCGCAAGUACUCGCAGUACCGGGAGAUGGCGCGCACGCUGGGGCUGGAGUACCUCCCCGCCGGCGGGCCCCGGCGGUUCUCGUACGCGGAGCUGAAGGCGGCGACCAAGGACUUCUCGGGCGUGGUGGGGCGCGGCGGGUACGGGACGGUGUACCGCGGCGAGCUGCCGGACCGGCGCGCGGUGGCGGUGAAGCAGCUGAACAGCGUGGGCGGCGGCGAGGCGGAGUUCUGGGCGGAGGUGACCAUCAUCGCGCGGAUGCACCACCUGAACCUGGUGCGCAUGUGGGGGUUCUGCGCGGACCGGGAGCAGAGGAUGCUGGUGUAUGAGUACGUGCCCAACGGCUCGCUGGACAAGUACCUGUUUGCGAACCCCAAUGCCGGAGCCGGUGGAGAUGGUGGUGAGCCAGCAGCAGAAGCUCCUCCUGCGGAUCCGCUGCUGGACCUGCACACCCGGUACCGCAUCGCUCUGGGCGUGGCCCGCGCCAUCGCGUACCUCCACGAGGAGUGCCUGGAGUGGGUGCUCCACUGCGACAUCAAGCCGGAGAACAUCCUGCUGGAGGACGACUUCUGCCCCAAGGUGUCCGACUUCGGGCUCUCCAAGCUGACGAGCAAGCGCGACAAGGUGACCAUGUCCCGCAUCCGCGGCACCCGCGGGUACAUGGCGCCCGAGUGGGUGAUCCACCGCGAGCCCAUCACCGCCAAGGCCGACGUCUACAGCUUCGGCAUGGUGCUGCUGGAGAUCGUCUCCGGCCGCCGCAACUACGGGUUCCGGCAGGAGUCGGUGGGCAGCGAGGACUGGUACUUCCCCAAGUGGGCGUACGAGAAGGUGUACGUGGAGCAGCGCAUCGACGACAUCAUCGAUCCGCGCAUCGCCGCCUCCUACGACGACGCCGUCAGCGUGGCCACCGUGGAGCGCAUGGUGAAGACGGCCAUGUGGUGCCUCCAGGACCGCGCCGAGAUGCGGCCGUCCAUGGGCAAGGUGGCCAAGAUGCUGGAGGGGUCCGUGGAGAUCACAGAGCCCGUCAAGCCCACAAUCUUCUGCGUCCAGGAUGAAUGAAUUCCGGCAAUUGAUUCCAAUUCCAAACACGGAUGGACGUGUUCCUCCUUGCUUCGCGCCGGUCAAACACGGACGAUGUGCAGCAUUGACUUUGACGGACCGCAACUCCUGUUAUGUCACAAACUUCAUCUUUUCCAGCAAUAACGUCUACAAUAUUUGGAUGAUGAAUCCCACAUGAACGGAUGACUAUAGCGUGCGAGGGACUUGGGUUACCAUGCAAAUUCAGCUCCAACUAGGGGUCAAGGAAUGCACCAUGGUUCAGAUUUUUGCUGCUGAAGAACACACCAUCAGGCAUCAUCGAAACCAGCUAUACCCCAAGCGAAUAUUUAGCGAAUGAUGGCAUCACUGCAAUCGAUUACUGCUGCAGAACAAUGUUUGUUAGAACUGGUUGGAUGCAUUAUUAUUUGGCUACUAGUCCUCAGACAUGUAGGAUGGUCCAUACCUAUUUUGCAGCAGCAGUUGUCAUCUACAACCGAAUCAACUUUGUGAUAUGCUGAUGGAUCGAUCGAUAGGCUGAGGGCAAUUGCUUACCAAACAAAUCUACCACCGUCCAGCUAGCUGCCUAGACUGCUCCAUUUCCUUUGUUGUCUUGUGAUAAGUGAAAUUUUCUGUUCCAAGUAAUGAACACCCUGAAUUGAAUAGUAUCAUGUGCCUGUGAUAUCUGUUUGCAGUAGAUAACUUGAAUGAGAACCUUGAAUUGGAGUACUAGUUAAGCUCUGAAUAUUUGUUGCCUCCUUCCCUGCUUAUGACUCUUUUUUCUUUUUUUUUUCUUUUUUUUGA